rnacentral:rRNA from 1 species
UUGCCAUAGACCCGAAACCGGGUGACCUACGCAUGAGCAGGUUGAAGUGGGGGUGAAACCCCAUGGAGGACCGAACCGACCCCCGUUGCAAUGGUGGCGGAUGACUUGUGUGUAGCGGUGAAAUUCCAAUCGAACUCGGAGAUAGCUGGUUCUCCCCGAAAUAGCUUUAGGGCUAGCGUUGUGUUAGAUUACCGGAGGUAAAGCACUGAAUGGUUUAGGGGCUGAUAAAGUUACCGACGCCUAUCAAACUCUGAAUGCCGGAUAAUUGAUGCACAGCAGUCAGACAGUGUGAGAUAAGUUUCAUUGUCAAAAGGGAAACAGCCCAGACCUACAGCUAAGGUCCCAAAUGUAUGCUAAGUGGAAAACGAUGUGGAAUUGCGAAAACAACCAGGAUGUUGGCUCAGAAGCAGCCACACAUUAAAAGAGUGCGUAAUAGCUCACUGGUCGAGUGACUCUGCGCGGAAAAUGUAACGGGGCUAAGCAUACAACCGAAGCUUAGGAUUGUCAAAAGACAGUGGUAGGGGAGCGUUCUGUAUGGGGCGAAGUCGCAGCGGGAGCAGCGGUGGACUGUACAGAAGUGAGAAUGCCGGAAUGAGUAGCGAGAAUUAUGUGGGAAUCAUAAUGGCCGAAAAUCUAAGGUUUCUUGGGGAAGGUUCGUCCGCCCAAGGUAAGUCGGGAGCUAAGCUCAGGCCGAGAGGCGUAGGCGAUGCACAUACGGUAGAAAUUCCGUAACCACCGAACUUUAAGCAUGAGGGACACUUUGAGAUAGCGGGACCCGGGCGUUGGUAGACCCGGGCGAAAGGGACCGAAAUAUAGUAGGGAAGUCCGCGAUGCUCGGAGGCGAGAAAAGCUCAUGUGUAUACUAAGGUGCCCGUACCGCAAACCGACACAGGUAGAUGAGGAGAGAAUCCUAAGGCCAACGGGAGAAGGGUUGUUAAGGAACUCGGCAAGAUGACCCCGUAACUUCGGAAGAAGGGGAGCCUCGAAAGAGGCCGCAGUGAAUAGGCCCAAGCAACUGUUUACCAAAAACACAGGUUUAUGCUAAAUCGAAAGAUGACGUAUAUGAGCUGACGCCUGCCCGGUGCCGGAAGGUUAAGAGGAGAUGUGAGCCGCAAGGUGAAGCAUUGAAUUGAAGCCCCGGUAAACGGCGGCCGUAACUAUAACGGUCCUAAGGUAGCGAAAUUCCUUGUCAGGUAAGUUCUGACCCGCACGAA